CUCACACCUAUGUGUGUAGGACUCCAAAGGAUCACCAUUAAAUUUGACAAAGAUAUUUAGAAAAGUUAUCACAUGGGUGUAGGACUUGACUUUUCUAGAGAUCUGUGUCAAAUUUAAUGGCGAUCUUUUGAGGUUCUACACACAUAGGUGUAGG
rnacentral:pre_miRNA from 1 species